rnacentral:rRNA from 1 species
CAGUAGCCACGGGAAUACAGAGGGUGCGAGCGUUAAUCGGAUUUACUGGGCGUAAAGCGUGCGUAGGCGGCUUCUUAAGUCGGAUGUGAAAUCCCUGAGCUUAACUUAGUAAUUGCAUUCGAUACUGGGAAGCUAGAGUAUGGGAGAGGAUGGUAGAAUUCCAGGUGUAGCGGUGAAAUGCGUAGAGAUCUGGAGGAAUACCGAUGGCGAAGGCAGCCAUCUGGCCUAAUACUGACGCUGAGGUACGAAAGCAUGGGGAGCAAACAGGAUUAGAUACCCCCGUAGUCCCUGUCUCUUUACA